CCUAUCACAGAACGGUAUGCCUGGCCGCAGCAGCGAUGGUGGGCGUGAGUGUUCUUUAGUCUGCUGCUAUGCUAAAUCCUCUAAAAUAGGAGAAUUCUGCGUUGAACUUGCUCAGCAGAACUGCAGCAUGCACGGAUCAAGUGGCAGUACGCUGGGGAAGCCAUGGGAAGCCGAUGAUUGUCAUCAAGCCCACUGGCUUCUAUGACAGGAGGUUUCUGCAAUUAUUAGUAAGUAGCUAGUUAUUCAGACUAGAACUAGCCUACUGCAAAAUAAAUUAUGUUGUUUGGUUUACAGCACUGAACCACAGAGUUCACUAUCUUACUGGAAUCCCAGUUGCCGUCUUUGUGACAUCUGUGAAUGUGUUUGUCAGUGAGGCUGAACUGGCUGAGAUUCCUGAAGGGUAUGAGCCUGAGCAUUGAGAGUAUUACAACGUACUUCGAGCCCUUUGUCGCAGUUGUUUCCUCUUAUCACAGUUCAAGUCUUUUUUGGAAAAAGUGACUAAUCAUUUUAUCAGAAAAUUAAAUGGAAAUCAUCUAUAAACAAAGUUACUCGCAUAGGCGAUCCUCUGGAGAUUGCUUACAAUCAGACUUGGGCAAAGUAGCUUUUGAGUCAUUGUUGUCCCUAUAUUUGCAGCAUCCUAUCACCAGGUGGAUCUCACGGACCUUCUAUGACUCCCCAGUGAAAGACUAUGAGAAAAUGAUGGCCCUGAUUCAGAUUGAGUCUGAGAAGGGCGAGAUAAGGUGAGUGUCACACAGUGAACAUAGUGCCAACAAUGACAAGCCAGUCUAUAGGGAGGAGGUACGUGAACUGGCAUUGUGGUGCCAGGACAACAACCUCUCCCUCAACGUCAGCAAAAAAAAAGGAGUUGAUUGUUGACUUCAGGAAGCAUAGGACACAAACAUGCCCCGAUUCACAUCAAUGGUAAUGCAGUAGAGAGUCAUCAGUUUUAAGUUCCUGUACGUCCAUAUUACAUAGGACUUAACCUGGACCAAUAACACCACACCUCUUGUUAAGAGGCCACAACAGCGUCUCUAAUUUCUAAGGUGGAUGAAGAAAUUCGGCAUGCCACCCCGAGUCCUUUCCAAAUAUUACCGCUGCACCAUCGAGAGCAUCCUAAUCGGUUGUAUCACAGCCUGGUACUGGAAUUGCUCCGUCCAUGAUUGCAAGGCCCUCCAGCGGGUGUUAAAGACGGCCCAGUACAUCACUGAGACCAUGCUGCCACCCAUCCAGGACAUCUACUUGAAACAGUGCCUUAUGUUUUAUUAUUUUUUAUUGUUGCAUUGUUGUGAAGGAAUCUGCAUGUAUGCAUUUGAUUGAUUGGACGGUGUAUACUGUGUGUAUCCUGUACAUAUGACAAAUAAAAACAUAACAUGGAUUCCUUUUU